AUCCUUUUGCAGAUCAUGGUCUUGAUGACUGAGUGUUAAUGCUGCUCUGUGUUUUGUGUCCCCCUCAAGCCUUGCUACAACCUCAGCACAUUACCUGUCUGAUG